ACGUAGGGUCCGAGCGUUGUCCGGAGUUACUGGGCGUAAAGCGCGCGCAGGCGGCCCGCGGGGUGUCACGUGAAAGCCCCGGGCUCAACUCGGGAGGGUCGUGGCAAACCGGCGGGCUUGAGGCCGGUAGAGGUGGGUGGAACUCCUGGUGGAGUGGUGAAAUGCGUAGAGAUCAGGAAGAACACCCGUGGCGAAGGCGGCCCACUGGGCCGGUGCUGACGCUGAGGCGCGAAAGCGUGGGGAGCAAACAGGA
rnacentral:rRNA from 1 species